AGGUGUGCUGGGGCUCCAGGAAGGGCCCUAGGCAGGGUCACUGCUGUCACUCUGCUCAUCUUGCAGGCUGGGCCUUCUCCAACCCACUGUUUCUAUACUCGGAAAAUAAAGAGAGCUGAGCUCGGCAUCUCAGGACAGAGAAUCAAAACGUGUCUCCUUGGACACUGAGGGCUGCUGGGAAGGCCCAGGAAGGAGCUGCCAAGGACGCACAAUGCUAUAAGUUUUUCUCUGGGUGCCUUGAACUCUCCGUGGCCCUCUGGCCUCCUCCUACCCCCACCACCUCCCAUAAGGAAACAGCCCUGGCUUUUUAACAUGCUGAUAAUAAGGGCCUGUUAGGCCAAGGAGGAGGACACAGUGUCAGCCAAGAGGAAAAUACUCAGUGGCCAUUUGCUUAGUUGGCAGGAUGGUAGGAGCGGGAGCCCCCUGCCACAACCACAGCACUGUGACAGAGAAAAGGAAGGGUGCCAGCUUGGGACAGCAGAUGCUCAGUCUGUGGCUCAGAGAAUCACCUCUGGGGGAGUUUGCAGCAACCCCUCCCAACCCCAGACCGCUGAUAACACUGACAUCCUUACCCCAUUGCCUACACCCAAGGAGUAGGGCACAGCUAAGAGAUUGGCUUAACUCCAGACAGCCUGUGUUCAAACCAGAGUUUUCUCCCACAUUUUAAGUUAUUUAGCCUGUGUCUCAGUUUCCUUGUCUACAGCAAGAGAGGUAUGUUAAUAAGCACUUACUUCAUGGGGUCAUUCGGAGAGUUAAAUGAACUAAAAUAUUCCCCGCAUUUAGACCACCGCCAUAUUUGUUAGUCUCCACUAUCUUUCCCAGCAGCCUUUUCUUAUAGGUCUUACUGGGGGAUUCUCCAGAGACUUGCACCACAUAUGCAAGGCCACAUGCAGCACCCAGUCCCCACGGGAGGAGCUUUCACGGAAGAUAAAUCUCCCUGCCUAAAAUGCUAUCACUGAUUGGCUAGGCUGGGAUGGAAACUUGGCCUGUGACCUUAACUGCCUUCUUCCCAUAAAUGCUCGGCUGCCCGAGGAACACCAGCUUGGGCUCCGGCAAGAUGGAGCCCAAGAAGAGAACCGAGAGAGGCAGUUAAUGCAAAAGAGACACAGGCACUAUGCCACGGUCUACAGGCUUCUAGCACUUGCAACUUGCCCUCGGACUCCAACUUAGGGCAUCACCCCUUGUGUGGAGAAACCAUCCAGCAGGCAGUCCAGAACAGUUCUGUGGAUCUAAGCUCAGACUUCUUCCAUGCCCCUGCUGUCUAAGGAUGCUUCUGCUCACGUUACUCCAGGCCCAAGAACCUCAAACACUUUUGGUGCUGUGAUAAACAACAACAACAACAACAAAACUGGGCUGUGUACCCACAGGGGACAGUCCCUGCCAUGUAAGUAAGGUUGAAUCCUCCUGGGAGGUGUUAUCACAUCUAUAAAACUCCAAAAGGGGGGCUGGGGAUUUAGCUCAGUGGUGGAGCGCUUACCUAGGAAGCGCAAGGCCCUGGGUUCGGUCCCCAGCUCCGGAAAAAAAAGAACCAAAAACUCCAAAAGGAGAAUGCCAGUGGGGCUCCCGGUGUUUAUGCUUCUUGGUAACAGACCUACUUUAAAAACUUGACCUUCCUAACCUCUGUCACUUUAAAGAUCCACAGCAGUCAGCAAAUUGUCCGUAAGGCAGAGAGAGGCACGGUGAGAAAAGUGUUCCUAAAGCCAACCACUGACCAGUCUUGAAAAAAACAGCACCAUCUCAGAGACACUCACUCACCCACCUGAUCGUCAACAGAGCAAGUGAAACCCCUUAGCUCCUCACCACAUCAUGGUGUCCUAAUUCUGCCGGAGUCAGAAACACCAGCGAGUUCCUGCUGGCCAACGGCUCCCUGAUCAGAAGGACCCGUCCUCGCUUCUGCUUCCCCAUGCACACACAGAGAGGAUACCAACAAAGGUAGGAAAUGUUUGGCUGAAAGAGGACAGAGAUAGAGAGGUAACAUUUGCUCCGCGUUGAGCAGGACAACUGCGCUCUCAAGAGAAAGAUCAGCGUGUGGCUGCUCCUGCUGCAGGGCUGCAAGGUACAAAAACGUCCUUUCUGCUGGGCUGCCCAUACUCCUUGUGGGACCUCAUUACAGCUGUCACAAAGCGCUGACAUUAUACCUUCAGAGACGACUGGGUUGACCGAACUGGCAUAGUAAAAGCCUAGACUUAAUUCAAUCACUUAAUCUCACGAUUCAAUGAUUCAGCUCCAAGAACCACUGAACACACCCGACAGGCGGUAACAAGGACCAAUGCACACGUGCAUUUCCCACUUUGUCACUCUGGAGCCCCAUUUCUGGUCUUGCCCCAACCUUAUGGAAGGAGGAAUUCGAGUUUUAUUCCUUUCCAACUAUACGUCUUUCCCUGCCAUAGAUUUACUGACUCUAUGGAAGAAAUCUCUGAGCUAGUGUAACCUGCGGAUGGUGAUUUACUUUUGUAACAGUAAAAUAUCUAAACCAAAUGUGCCCUGUGUUUCGGUAGCUUAAACACUGAGGUCUAACGGGCCUGGAGAGUCCACUUUGUUUGCCAAAGCCUAAGUGUGUAUGUUUAAGUGAGAGAAAGUGAUUACGACGAAAAACGGGGAAUGUCUGAGUGGGUGAACGAAAAAAAAAAGUUGAUAUAUUGCUAGAAAAUCUGACUGCACGCAUAGUCCUGGCGCCCACGCACGAGAAGGGGCGGAGUGCCAGCAUCCUGGGGUGAAGUGCUGAGCUUUGCAAAAACAAAGGCGCUCUGCGCAGAAGCCCUUGAGACCAGCCUACAUCUCUCUCUCCGUAUUUACAGUCAUAGGUAAAUUAACCGAUAUAUCUAAGGUCCUUUUAUCCUAGCUCAAGCCGGUUUGGGUUGCCGAGCUCGGAGGCCAAAGGAGUCAAAACUUAGAUAUGCUCGUCCAGGGCGGGGGCUGCACAAGCCAUUUGCCAACAGUAGUCUGGUCUGCGAGCAGCCGCCUAGUAGGGGAGGGGUGCCACCGCCGCCCCGCAUGCGCAGCAGUUGGAAGCGGUCACGUGAAGUGGAGGCGGCCCGUUACCUAGGCAACAGGGGCCUGAUCCGCUCUAAGGCAUUCUGGGUGCCUGCUCUCUAAGUGGGAGGAACAGAGCGUAGCCCUUGCACCAUGUUGUGGGAAUCAACUGUCCCAUCGCUGCCACUUCCGCUGGUGUUGGGAGAAUGGAUGUGCUUGUGUUUGGAUGUCCCUAUUUAUAGAAUAGGCUAGCGACGGCCAGUGCAGCCGGCCGCCGACGGUUUCUUGUGUACGCUGCGAUGCAAAUCUCCUCUGUCAGCUGUGUGUGCGCUACUGGGGGAAGGCGAAAGAACUGGAGAGGAACUUGACUCACCUUUUCCUGGCUCGCCAUGAGAAACUGAGCACGAAACAAUAGAAAUGGCCCUUCUGGAGCGUGUCAUGGUUUCUCGCUAGGGAAAUAAGCAGACUAAUGUGACAAAACCUCUGUAGAUAAAAAACGACAGGGACGGAGGUUUAUGGGCUUGAGGCUGAGCAGCACAUCAUCCCAGCAAGCCGACAGCCAGGCCUGCCUCUGAAAUCACCAACCACUUACACAGGAAGUGAUGGGUACUCCACACUGCUGCACCAAGAGAAAGUCUGUGAGCAUCAUCACGCGGCCUCAGGCUCGUUUACAAUCUUGAACUGGAAUGACCUUUCCACUGUGGGGCAAACUCCUUCCCAGACUCAGAGGUUAACCACACAAGUACUUCAGUGAUUCAAAAAACAAUCGCACGGUUGCUCUCCCUUGGAGAUGAAUUCCCAAACUGGUAGCAAAUACAGGCAACGCUUGGUAACCGUGUUCAACCAGAGAUUCUAAGAAAAGUUCAAGGUUAAUCACUGAAAGGCUUUGUACUGAGGCCACCCUCUUUGGUAACCAACACAUCCUAGAAUUUUGUAAAUAUUUAGAGCUAAUUCCCUUAUCACGAAGCUCACAUUUUCCAGAAGCCUUUCUAGUGGCCAGGGGGAGAGAAGGGAUUCGAAGAUUCUGAUUCCCUCUGCCCUGUGCCCUACCGACUUCUUGGGUCAACCUUAACUAUGCAAAACACCAAUGUGCACUUCCAGGCACACAUCCCUUCAAGCUCCCAUGAGGAAAUUCCUGUUUGCGGGUUGCUGUUUUCCUGUUCCAGGAGGCUGGCUGGCCCUCCAGAGCUGGAGGGUAGGAGUGCUGGGAGUUUCCUUCCCAUCUCUGAGACCAGAUCUCUGUCACUGGAGUCAUGUCUGAGCACUGGCCCAGGGUGCUGGGACCCCGACGGGGAAGCAAUGGGGAGGAAAUGUUUCUCCUGCCCUCCAGCUCCCAAGGACUCACAUGCUCACAUAGACAUCAACCCAACCAGACUGUCCCCCUAUGUUCCGAGCUGCUAGGGGGAUCUGAGGCGGUGGCUAAGAGCCACUCAGCAGAGUUUGUUGCUGGCCUUGCCAGAAGCUCAUGAGAGAUGGCUUCCCAUUCUGUGCAGUGAAGGUCAGAGAGCUCACCAGGUCCAUCCCCAUCCCAAACCAGCACAUUUUAGUGUUUCGGCCAAAAAAGCAGGACAAAGUUUUAAAAGAUUAAGUUGAAGCAAAAGAGCACAGUGUCACAAAAUUGAACUCGAUACACGUGAGAGGCAUAAAAUAGUAAUAAAGAUAAACAAGAAACAAUAGAUAAAAACACAGCGAAAGGCACUGGUCUGGCAGUGGUUCUCUCCAAGUUUAGUACAGGAGAUGCCCUGUUUUCAUUAGCUUCCUUCCUUGGGUUCUUCAACACAAAGCCUUCUAGAGAGCCUGGAGGGUUGUGCAGAGCAAGAAGUCUUUGGUUUCUAAACCCGCAGACUAGAAUAGAUACAGUCUUUUGUUAUAGGUUCCCUGGAAUACAGAAUGGCCUAUGGAGAGCACUUUUCUCCGGGAGUGUCCAGUUUUCUGUGACAUCCCUAAAUGGUACUAGACCCACAUUCAAAUGUCCAAGCUAGUCCAACUCCCGAGUCCUCAGAUAAGGCCUAGAAAAGUCCAACUGAGUGCUCUGGGUGACAAGGUAAAUUAUAUGUCACCUUCUAAAGCUGUUUGGGACCCCGUGGGAGGAAGACACCACACAAGCCAAGAGACCUUUUCCAUUUCAAAUUACAAGGAUUCUGUGAAAGUCUCCAGCCGCCACUCUGUCUGGCUUUCUGGGCCUGGGUGUGCCAGUUGCCACUCUGCUGUGCGGAGGUGGACGGAUGGCCAGGGGACAGGGAUGGCUGGAUAUGGCCACUGGCAGCCAGCUAGCAUACGCAGGCACCAGCCCUCAGCUAAACUGUCACUGUGGGCUCCAGGAGAAUUCUUGAGAACCCAGUCUCACAGGGGAAGGGACAAGUCCAAGCUCCACAGAUCCAUCACAAAAGCUGAUCACAUAUGAAAAAAAAAAAAAAUCAG
rnacentral:sRNA from 1 species